rnacentral:rRNA from 1 species
AGAGUUUGAUCCUGGCUCAGGACGAACGCUGGCGGCACGCUUAACACAUGCAAGUCGAACGAGAGAAGAGGAGCUUGCUUUUCUGAUCUAGUGGCGGACGGGUGAGUAACACGUGAGCAAUCUGCCUUUCAGAGGGGGAUACCGAUUGGAAACGAUCGUUAAUACCGCAUAACAUAAUUGAACCGCAUGAUUUGAUUAUCAAAGAUUUAUCGCUGAAAGAUGAGCUCGCGUCUGAUUAGCUAGUUGGUAAGGUAACGGCUUACCAAGGCGACGAUCAGUAGCCGGACUGAGAGGUUGAUCGGCCACAUUGGGACUGAGACACGGCCCAGACUCCUACGGGAGGCAGCAGUGGGGAAUAUUGCACAAUGGAGGAAACUCUGAUGCAGCGAUGCCGCGUGAGGGAAGAAGGUUUUAGGAUUGUAAACCUCUGUCUUCAGGGACGAAAAAAGACGGUACCUGAGGAGGAAGCUCCGGCUAACUACGUGCCAGCAGCCGCGGUAAUACGUAGGGAGCGAGCGUUGUCCGGAAUUACUGGGUGUAAAGGGAGCGUAGGCGGGAUCGCAAGUCAGAUGUGAAAACUAUGGGCUUAACCCAUAAACUGCAUUUGAAACUGUGGUUCUUGAGUGAAGUAGAGGUAAGCGGAAUUCCUAGUGUAGCGGUGAAAUGCGUAGAUAUUAGGAGGAACAUCAGUGGCGAAGGCGGCUUACUGGGCUUUAACUGACGCUGAGGCUCGAAAGCGUGGGGAGCAAACAGGAUUAGAUACCCUGGUAGUCCACGCCGUAAACGAUGAUUACUAGGUGUGGGGGGACUGACCCCUUCCGUGCCGCAGCAAACGCAAUAAGUAAUCCACCUGGGGAGUACGACCGCAAGGUUGAAACUCAAAGGAAUUGACGGGGGCCCGCACAAGCAGUGGAGUAUGUGGAUUAAUUCGAAGCAACGCGAAGAACCUUACCAGGUCUUGACAUCGUAUGCAUAGCUCAGAGAUGAGUGAAAUCUCUUCGGAGACAUAUAGACAGGUGGUGCAUGGUUGUCGUCAGCUCGUGUCGUGAGAUGUUGGGUUAAGUCCCGCAACGAGCGCAACCCUUACUGUUAGUUGCUACACAAGAGCACUCUAGCAGGACUGCCGUUGACAAAACGGAGGAAGGUGGGGAUGACGUCAAAUCAUCAUGCCCCUUAUGACCUGGGCCUCACACGUACUACAAUGGCUGUCAACAGAGGGAAGCAAAGCCGCGAGGUGGAGCGAACCCCUAAAAGCAGUCUUAGUUCGGAUUGUAGGCUGCAACCCGCCUACAUGAAGUCGGAAUUGCUAGUAAUCGCAGAUCAGCAUGCUGCGGUGAAUACGUUCCCGGGCCUUGUACACACCGCCCGUCACGCCAUGGGAGUCGGUAACACCCGAAGCCUGUAGUCUAACCGCAAGGAGGACGCAGUCGAAGGUGGGAUUGAUGACUGGGGUGAAGUCGUAACAAGGUA